CCCCCCAAGGAGUUGCCAAGGGUUUGGGGGAACAUUCAACCUGUCGGUGAGUUUGGGCAGCUCAGGCAAACCAUCGACCGUUGAGUGGACCCCGAGGCCUGGAACUGCCGUCCACCCACCC
rnacentral:pre_miRNA from 8 species